GGUCUGUUGGUGAAGUGGUUAACACACAUGGUUUUCAUCCAUGCACGCACGGGUUCGAGUCCCGUACAGACUGCCA
rnacentral:tRNA from 1 species